rnacentral:rRNA from 1 species
AACGAACGCUGGCGGCAGGCUUAACACAUGCAAGUCGAACGCCCCGCAAGGGGAGUGGCAGACGGGUGAGUAACGCGUGGGAAUCUACCCAGAUCUACGGAACAACAGAGGGAAACUUCUGCUAAUACCGUAUACGCCCUACGGGGGAAAGAUUUAUCGGAUUUGGAUGAGCCCGCGUAAGAUUAGCUAGUUGGUGAGGUAAUGGCUCACCAAGGCGACGAUCUUUAGCUGGUCUGAGAGGAUGAUCAGCCACACUGGGACUGAGACACGGCCCAGACUCCUACGGGAGGCAGCAGUGGGGAAUAUUGGACAAUGGGCGCAAGCCUGAUCCAGCCAUGCCGCGUGAGUGAUGAAGGCCUUAGGGUUGUAAAGCUCUUUCACCGAUGAAGAUAAUGACGGUAGUCGGAGAAGAAGCCCCGGCUAACUUCGUGCCAGCAGCCGCGGUAAGAC